CUCCCCUCAACAGGGCUUCAGUGGACUCAACAGUGGUCUUAGUUCUUUGCCAUCCUUUGGCUUCCCUUGGACUCUCACACCUAAGCCAACCUGCCGCCCUCUUUUUUCUUAGUGUCCACUUCCCCUAUUCUGAUACUUGGGGCAGGGAGCUUAGUGAGGUAGAGGCCUAGGGCUCCCUCACUGCAGCCUGCUGCUAUCUGGGGUUUACUUCCAGGGCCCUGUGGUAGGAGGCUGGUACAAGGUUUUGGAUCGGUUCAUCCCUGGCACCACCAAAGUGGAUGCACUGAAGAAGAUGUUGUUGGAUCAGGGGGGCUUUGCCCCGUGUUUUCUAGGCUGCUUUCUCCCACUGGUAGGGGCACUUAAUGGACUGUCAGCCCAGGACAACUGGGCCAAACUACAGCGGGAUUAUCCUGAUGCCCUUAUCACCAACUACUAUGUAAGAGCUGACACCUCAACUGCUUGUUCUCCUGCUUCCUUAAGUCUAGAACUGUCCUGGGAUUGGG
rnacentral:lncRNA from 1 species